rnacentral:rRNA from 1 species
GACGAACGCUGGCGGCGUGCUUAACACAUGCAAGUCGAGCGGUAAGGCCCUUUCGGGGGUACACGAGCGGCGAACGGGUGAGUAACACGUGGGUGACCUGCCCUCAGCUCUGGGAUAAGCCUGGGAAACCGGGUCUAAUACUGGAUAUGACUCCAUGACGCAUGUUGUGGGGUGGAAAGCCUUGUGCGGACUGAGGAUGGGCCCGCGGCCUAUCAGCUUGUUGGUGGGGUGANGGCC